AUGACAGCAGCAGACGCAGACUACAUCGAACAAUCUCUGGGCUUUCGAUAUGGAUGAGCACGAAUCAGGAAUGGAAAUGAUGCUUUCUGCAAUGAAUUCUCCACUUGAUGAUGAUCUCCCAUGGCAGUUUGAUGAUCAAAUAAUCAAGGAAAAUGAUAGGCUCGACUCUGCAGCACAAAGUCCGUCGUCUAGCCUUUUCUCCGAUUUUGACGACGCCUGCACAUCAUCAUUUGCAUCGUCGCUCUCCUCACCCACUUUUGCAACAUCUUCUGAAUCAGGAAUUUGUCCUCUAUUGCAGCGAGUUCGCUGUCCUCUUUCGAUAUGAUGAUGAGCAUGUUCCCUGAUCCAACACGUCCGACUGUGAGCGAUGAUCGAAUGGCUCCUCCGGCGGCUACUGUGCGAAAAAACGUUGUCGUCCGAAGACGUCCCCGUGAGUGUUCAAUGGUUUGCUGGUUGUUCAGAACAUUACUGACAUCCGAAUAUCGAGCUUUGCCAGCCAAUGCAAUUUUUGAAAUUUUUGAAGAAACUAUGCAACAAUCCACAGCUGGAAGCGCCCGUCAUUAUCGAGACUCAAUUCGUCACUGUUUAAUGACUUCUGCUGUUUUUGUACGCGUUCUGACCCCGAAUCCACGCAAGGAUUUUCUUGUGAUGAAUGAACAAGGAUCAUGGUGGACAGUACAUCCAGACUGCGAAAUGGCCUGUGCUGAGCAUGUGUUUCGAAGUGGAUCUGCACAUCGUUGUCCUCCACAAGCAUCGAUUCCUGCAUAUUAUGCGAGAGUUCGAAUGGAAGAGACAAAAGCUGCAAGCUCUGGAAAUUCAACAGCUGGUCCAAUAAGAGCCACAUUUGGAUAUCAGUCAGCUUCAUCGUCGGAAUGCUCAUCUACAUCAUCGUCUUCUGCAUCGUCACCGGCUCCAUCAGUUAAUGUUCGAAGAUUUGAUCCUAUUCGAAAAGUGACUUAUGGAACGAUGAACGGUGGACAACGAGUAUCUUAUAAAGCGUUCUCUUCAGGAUACCCUCAAAAAGUCACACCUCAACCGACACUUCUGAAUCCUCGUUCAAUUCUUCUGAAUGAUAUUGCAGUAGAUCACGAAGAAGUCGUAUGA
rnacentral:misc_RNA from 1 species